UACGUAGGGUGCGAGCGUUGUCCGGAAUUAUUGGGCGUAAAGGGCUCGUAGGCGGUCUGUUACGUCGGGAGUGAAAACUCGGGGCUCAACCCCGAGCCUGCCUCCGAUACGGGCAGACUAGAGGUAUGCAGGGGAGAAUGGAAUUCCUGGUGUAGCGGUGAAAUGCGCAGAUAUCAGGAGGAACACCGGUGGCGAAGGCGGUUCUCUGGGCAUUACCUGACGCUGAGGAGCGAAAGUGUGGGGAGCGAACAGG
rnacentral:rRNA from 1 species